CAAAUGGGCGGUUUUAUUUGCCCAUUGCUGAGGUCAGGGUUAGAUUUCAUAUGUCUAGACUCUAGACGGGGGGACUUUGGCCGCAUGUAAUCGAAGUCGCCUUAACAACCCGACGUGUUUGAUAUAUUUUAAAAGUAUCUGUCCGAAUCUCUAUUCAAUCGCAUGUGAAUCACCUGCUAAUUGCGGUUUUAUCAGACGAGCGGUUAUUACAAAAGUGGACAGUUGCGUACUUCGAACGCAGGAUGGGGCCAUUAGCCAGUUUAACACGUGAACCUAUGGUCAAGCAAGAGCUUACAAAUCAUACGAUGCUUACGCGAAAUGAACACGAGAAAGGUGAUUAGAAGAAUGUCGGCCAGUGGCGCCAGCAACGGGGGUUCUUAUGAAGGACUCCAUACAAUACUAUGAAACCCCGUAAAAAAUACACAUUUUAUUUUUUACACAUUUGUAUGUUGUGCCUCAGGAGCCCUUCUUCAAAAUAGUCCUACAUACGCCUCUGAUUUUUAAAAGAUUAGGUGGCAAGAAGAAGAAUUUCGCAUUCACACACAUGUAUGUGUAAUGCAAGAACAGCAGAUCACCCGCAAAAGCUUUUAACAUGGCGAAAGAAGAAAGGGCCACAGACAGUGAGAGAGGGAGAGAGAAAAAGCUAAUGCCGCCAGCAUGUCAACAAAACAGCCGACUGCUUUUGAGCCACGAGAGCGAAAACCGGUAAAAACCGACCACAGGCCACCAAAAGACAGCAAACAUUCGAAUACAAAGUCAGCAAACAUUGCCCAUUUAUCAGAGGCACGCAUUGAACUUGAAAUUUGCCGCUGCUUUUGCCAAUUUGCCAAUGAACGGACAUCGUGGGAGCUUACACAAGAGCAAACGAGAGCGGUAGUAAGCGCAAAGAGCAAGAUGGAGCGAGAGUAGUUUUCCUUUUGUUAUUGUUGCGGCCCGUUAUCACGUUGCAAGAGCGUGAUGCUUCACUGAGACAUUACACGCUGAGAAAACUGGAGCGCGUUCUUAAGUUCAGAUGAACUGAAUGAUCUGUUAUUUAAACAAAACUAAUAGAACUGUUAUAUUUAGAAUUCGAAAUGUAAAUAAACGACUUCUUCUGUCUUUAAA